ensembl:lncRNA
GGGGGAGAGAAGGAGGUCAUGGGGGAGGAAUUAGAGAGACAACCUGACACCCCUGAGAAAGUCGGAGCGGAUUCUGCCCCCCCCCCUCUCCCCCCUUCUCUCUCCCCCCUCACCCUCUUAAGCCUGGGGAGGGCCUGUGUUAUUAUGAUCGUGUGUGUGUGUGUGUCUGUCUUGCUUCUGUGUGUCAGGCCUUUGAUGGAUUUACAGUCACAGAAUUUCAACAGUAGUGCUAGCACAAGUGUAUGUAUAUCUGUAUGUGUGUGUGUAUAUGCGUGUGUGUCUGUGUAUAUAUGUGUGUGUGUGUGUGUGGGUGUGUGUUUGUGUGUGUGUGUGUGUGUAUAUAU